CCUACGGGAGGCAGCAGUGAGGAAUAUUGGUCAAUGGUCGAGAGUCUGAACCAGCCAAGUAGCGUGAAGGAUGACUGCCCUAUGGGUUGUAAACUUCUUUUAUAUGGGAAUAAAACAUGGUAUGCAUACCCUCUUGUAUGUACCAUAUGAAUAAGGAUCGGCUAACUCCGUGCCAGCAGCCGCGGUAAUACGGAGGAUCCGAGCGUUAUCCGGAUUUAUUGGGUUUAAAGGGAGCGUAGGCGGCUUGUUAAGUCAGUUGUGAAAGUUCGGGGCUCAACCGUAGAAUUGCAGUGGAAACUGGCAGGCUUGAGUGCAGGAGAGGUGGGCGGAAUUCGUGGUGUAGCGGUGAAAUGCUUAGAUAUCACGAAGAACUCCGAUUGCGAAGGCAGCUCACGGGACUGCAACUGACGUUGAGGCUCGAAAGCGUGGGGAGCAAACAGGAUUAGAUACCCCAGUAGUC
rnacentral:rRNA from 1 species